rnacentral:rRNA from 2 species
UUGGGCGUAAGAGCUCGUAGGCGGUUUGUCGCGUCUGCUGUGAAAUCCCGAGGCUCAACCUCGGGCUUGCAGUGGGUACGGGCAGACUAGAGUGCGGUAGGGGAGAUAGGAAUUCCUGGUGUAGCGGUGGAAUGCGCAGAUAUCAGGAGGAACACCGAUGGCGAAGGCAGAUCUCUGGGCCGUAACUGACGCUGAGGAGCGAAAGCAUGGGGAGCGAACAGGAUUAGAUACCCUGGUAGUCCAUGCCGUAAACGUUGGGCGCUAGAUGUAGGGACCUUUCCACGGUUUCUGUGUCGUAGCUAACGCAUUAAGCGCCCCGCCUGGGGAGUACGGCCGCAAGGCUAAAACUCAAAGGAAUUGACGGGGGCCCGCACAAGCGGCGGAGCAUGCGGAUUAAUUCGAUGCAACGCGAAGAACCUUACCAAGGCUUGACAUACACCGGAAACGGCCAGAGAUGGUCGCCCCCUUGUGGUCGGUGUACAGGUGGUGCAUGGUUGUCGUCAGCUCGUGUCGUGAGAUGUUGGGUUAAGUCCCGCAACGAGCGCAACCCUCGUUCUAUGUUGCCAGCGGGUUAUGCCGGGGACUCAUAGGAGACUGCCGGGGUCAACUCGGAGGAAGGUGGGGAUGACGUCAAAUCAUCAUGCCCCUUAUGUCUUGGGCUUCACGCAUGCUACAAUGGCCGGUACAAAGGGCUGCGAUACCGUAAGGUGGAGCGAAUCCCAAAAAGCCGGUCUCAGUUCGGAUUGAGGUCUGCAACUCGACCUCAUGAAGUCGGAGUCGCUAGUAAUCGCAGAUCAGCAACGCUGCGGUGAAUACGUUCCCGGGCCUUGUACACACCGCCCGUCAAGUCAUGAAAGUCGGUAACACCCGAAGCCGGGUGCCUAACCCUUGUGGAAGG